GACUGCGACCAUUUCAACUAGUUCUAUUUCCGGAUAGCACUUUAGCUCCCGUUUUAGUAUAAUAACUAUUUUAAGGGAUUAUAACUUGGACUUCCAAUAUGUCGACAUGGAUAAACAGCCUCAAGUCAACUCUGUUAUGCAGGUUGUUGAGAGCAAUAUGAUGAGGGAAGGCAGGAAAGAGUACCAGAGUCUUAUAGUCUGUAUGUACUCAUGGUAAAAUGGUGUUCGAGAGGUGGCAAAUAAGGAUUUGCUUGCAGCAUUGAAGAACGAUAAUAUGCAAAGAACAGAAAGAAAGGUUCUCUUAACAUAGAAAGUAAAGAAAUAAUGAUGUUCACACUACAGUUGACAAUCUGGAUGUGUUUCCUUUGUUAUUUGAACAUGAUUUAUUUUAACUUACAUAACAAGUAUGCACUACAAUAAUGAAUAUAUAUAUUUAUACUAAUGAUAUUCCAUUAAACAUGGAUAUGGAAAAAAAUAUUCUUUGACAGUGCAAGAUAAGAUAAAUCAAGACAUAGUCAGAGUCUUCAGUUAACUUGGAUGUGUUCCAUUUGUUUCAUCCACAUACUUGAAAUUUGUCUUGUAACUACAUGUAUUUUUAUGAGGUUAAGUGGUUAGUAAUCAACCUUUAUCAUAACAUUUUCUUAUUUGGGUAUAGUAUGUAUUUAUGUUGACACUAUGUGUACCUUCAUUCUCUUCAUUUUUCUGUACAAAACAAGACCAAAUGUGUCAUUUUAGUUUAACCAUUUUAAACUGUAUUUAUUAUACUCUUCAUUGAAUAGCCAUUCGUAUAUUAUCGAACAUUUUAACAAAUUUAAAUGUGUUGUUAUUUUGAUUAUAUUGUAUCGGUGUCAUAGGGUACAUGUC